rnacentral:tRNA from 1 species
CAAAAUGUAGCUUAAUCAAAGCCCCCCGCUUACACCGAGAAAAUAUCUACGAGACCUGGAUCAUUUUGAGCCAUAACCUA